GAAGACAUACAAGUGCAGGAGCUCGAAGCUAUUGUUCCAACAUCUUACACGACAUCAGGUUCAAAACACACCUUGAGUGGGAGACUCGUGUGUCUAACAUUUCUUGAGUGGGAGACUCAUUUGUUAGGGCUAGUCAGCAGGUAUGCAUGUUUGACAUUAAUAGAUUAGCUUCAUUUAAAGUCUAAUUGUUGUUAGCAUAGUUGAUAGGAUUAGAAGGGAUUUCUUUUUCUAUCAAUACCACUCGAUAAGAGGGAUUCUAUUGAGUGGAUUGGUGUAUCUUCAUUGUAAAAGAGAUUUUUGUAAUUAACAUACAGUUGCAAUUAAUUAAUAUUGCAGUAUAAAAAAUAAUCAAUUGUAUUACUUUAUUUUAAGUUGAUUAUUCUAUCAUUCUAUUUAACAUUUUUGAAUUUGCGAAUUCAACAAAAUUUCAAAACAAUAUUUAAACGAAUAAAAUGUUGAAGAAGAAGAAUAAAUAGAAAAACACGCAUACUAAAUGCAUGGCCUCCCCC
rnacentral:lncRNA from 1 species